UAUUCCUGGCAAAAAAACAAAAAAAAAUUAGUUAAACAAACAGUGAAUCGUGUAUGUGUGAUAUGUUUUGGUCAGUGUUAUGUUCAAUGAUUGUUUGUUUUUUAGAAUCAAUAUUAAGAGUGGAUAAUACAGUGUUCUGCAUUCACUUGUAUGUAGACGCUUAUAACACAAUUUACCGAGGCCUGUGUUCACUAAGACAUACGACGACCUAUAAAGGGAACUAAUUCAGCUUAUACCACCACUUCUUGCAAUAAUGAAGCAUAACAAGAAGAACAUGGAAUGAAAAAUAAUAGACCACCAACAUAUUUUUAAAGGAGGUAAAAGAAAAACUUAGUGAGACAGAGUUGAUAGAAGCUUUGUACAAAAAUAAAUAGAAUUGUGGAGUUCCAAAGUCAAGCGUCUUGUGUGAUUUCUUGGAGAAAUAAAUGUCCAUUUAGUGAACAGCACAACACGUCUGCUUGAAAGAUCUGAAGAGGACUGCAGAUAUGUGGGGAACACAAGAGAACUAGUAUUCUUGAAGACACUCAAGUGUGAGCUGUUCUUGCCAGAUGUGGCCUAAGACACGAAACAACACGCAAACAUUACUUCCCUUUACAAUCGAAGGAAGUCGAGAAAUUGUAGCUUUGAUUUUUCUGAAAUAUUUAUAUCAUUUCACUUUUAUAUUUUAAAUAAAUAUUAUCUUUAGGCCUAUGACGGUAUGAGACUAAACUAUUUAGCUAAUUAAGCUGGAGAUUGCACUUUUAAACCUAAUUAGUUUCAAUAAUUCAAUCAUUAAUGAAGUGAUCUUGUGAAAUUUAUAAGUAAAUAAGUAAUCACGCUGCACGAGUUUAUUAGUGAAACUUCAGCUUUAAAGCCUUCCUAGACUAACUAGCAGUACACACCCGGGGCUACGGCCGUUGAUUCUCGUCCAGGUUUUUUCUAUUGUUUGUUGAUUCGCUUUCUAAAGAUCAAUCCAUGGAUACACACAUUACGUUAUUUUCUCUUGUGAAUAAAGUCUGAAUUGAAAAUAAUAUAUGCAAAAUAUGCAGAAUGUUUCUUUUUUUUUUUUUUUCUAACUAGAAAGAAGAGAUUAAAAAAAAGUGUUUUG